CCUACGGGUGGCAGCAGUGAGGAAUAUUGGUCAAUGGACGAGAGUCUGAACCAGCCAAGUAGCGUGAAGGAUGACUGCCCUAUGGGUUGUAAACUUCUUUUAUAUGGGAAUAAAACGUUCCACGUGUGGGAUUUUGUAUGUACCAUAUGAAUAAGGAUCGGCUAACUCCGUGCCAGCAGCCGCGGUAAUACGGAGGAUCCGAGCGUUAUCCGGAUUUAUUGGGUUUAAAGGGAGCGUAGGUGGAUUGUUAAGUCAGUUGUGAAAGUUUGCGGCUCAACCGUAAAAUUGCAGUUGAAACUGGCAGUCUUGAGUACAGUAGAGGUGGGCGGAACUCGUGGUGUAGCGGUGAAAUGCUUAGAGAUCACGAAGAACUCCGAUUGCGAAGGCAGUUCACUGGACUGCAACUGACACUGAGGCUCGAAAGUGUGGGUAUCAAACAGGAUUAGAUACCCUGGUAGUC
rnacentral:rRNA from 1 species